GCAGCUGCGUGUUGAUUAGCACACGUGGGGUGCACUGUGUAAGCUGUACAUUUAGUUUAUGAAGAGGUGGUGUUACAAGCUGCCUGAUGAAUCCUGGAGCGCCUUGAAAGGUGAUGACGAGCUCCUUUGAGACCUUACAUGUCAUGUAGACUUGGUUUUAUUCAUCAUGAGAUGUAGUUAUCCUGAAGUAUUAAAAAAAUGGAGCAGUGCCAAGACAAAUAGAAAAAUUGGACUUUUAAAUAUUUUUUAGUACUCAUCUUGGGGGGAUGGGGUGUAUUCUGAUUUUUUUGUUUUGCACUUCUAGUGUUGAUAAUGUCUAGUUUUUUCUUGACAAUUCUAAGGUCUAGGGAUUUGGGAAAAAAAAAAAAAGGCAAGAGCUAGUCAUGUAAGCACAACUCCCGGAGCUAUCGCCUAAAGAGAAACUUGAAACAUCCCAUGACUUGCCACUGUGACAGUUAACAUGACUAAAAAAAAUUACUGAAAGGAAUUACUUUCUUCUCUUCCUUAGAUACAGUCAUCAUCAUUAAGUGUGAGUAGCAAGUAUUUAACCUCAAAUGAAGCUGCCUGCAUGCACUGGAACAGAUCUAUGCUUUCUGCAAGAGUUCCAAGAAGAUUUUACUGUACACAAGCCACAGCGUGUCUCUCCUAACUGCUUUUUCAUUCUUCGUCAUCCUGACUAUUCAACUGUGUAAUUCUCAGCUUUCUUCUUUCAGGUGUCUCAUUUUUAACUGUUUGAAAUCAUCCUUAAAGCGCUUAAGGUUUGGCUCUUACUGAGUUUAAAGAUAAAAUUUAAACAAAAAUACCAAAAUUUUAUUUUUUCUAGUAUAUUGCAAGCUAGGAAGAUGGACUAGUCAGGAGAAUAAUCUCCUGUCCUAAUCCUACCCCAUUUAUUUUGUCAGCUGUGGACUGCACAGGAGGAAGAAGAGAAGGGUGUAGUGGGUGAGGCUGAGGAACUGAUUGUUUGGGGAAAAGACAUGCCAGAGAAGCUUUGCUUUGAAUUUUCUGAUGCUUUUCUGAGAGUAGGUUGCUGUUCUCUCGCAACAUGCAGUAAAUG
rnacentral:lncRNA from 1 species